CUGCUGUGAUGUUGCAUUUUUCGUCAACAGCAUCUCACUCGUGUGAAUGUUGACAACCUGGAUCUGAGCAC